AAGUCGUAACAAGGUUUCCGUAGGUGAACCUGCGGAAGGAUCAUUAGUGAAUUUUUAGGGUGCUCUUCCCCUUUUUUAACAAAGGGAAGAGGCCUGACCUCCCACUCUCCAACACUGUGCACUUAUCGGCAUUAGGAUUUCUAGCUAGGGAGGACGCAAGUCCAAUCUUGUUAGCUUUCCUUCUGCGGCCUCAUUUUUAACACUUGUCAAAGAAUGUAACAAAACCAUAACAAAAAAA
rnacentral:misc_RNA from 1 species